rfam:Ovis aries breed Texel chromosome 5, whole genome shotgun sequence.
UCCCUGGUAGUCUAAUGGUUAAGAUUCCAGGCUUGCACUGUGGUGGCUCCAGGUUCGAUUCCUGGUUGGGGAA